rnacentral:lncRNA from 1 species
GAAAAUAAAACACGCAAUGGGUUCCAAGAAGUGUCUUUGAAGGUAGCUUUAAAGGAGGGAUAGUGCUCAUAGUGAUGAGCACAGUCAUGAGAAGGGCUGUCAGGAAGAAACUCAGCCAGGGUCCUGAGGGCAGGUCUCCAGGUGGAGGCAGCACAGAGGAGCUCAGCACAUGGAGAAGAAAAAGCAGGAGAGGGAUCCCCAGCCAGGCACACCAGGGUUCGCCCCCCAAUUCCACCUCACUGUUGCUGAUUUUGAACAGGUUGCUACAGAAAGAAGACUGGCCCUGGAUAUAAACCCUUGACCUCGGUCCUCCAGAACCAUGAGUGGAAGCUGCUUCUUUGUUAUGCACAGGUAAAUGAAGAAAACUAGAAAUGGUUUCCUUCUGCCGCCCGCGUGCCCUCUGCACAACCCCC